rnacentral:rRNA from 1 species
AGUGAACGCUGGCGGUAGGCCUAACACAUGCAAGUCGAACGGCAGCACAGUAAGAGCUUGCUCUUACGGGUGGCGAGUGGCGGACGGGUGAGGAAUACAUCGGAAUCUACUUUUUCGUGGGGGAUAACGUAGGGAAACUUACGCUAAUACCGCAUACGACCUACGGGUGAAAGCAGUGGAUCUUCGGACCUUGCGCGAUUGAAUGAGCCGAUGUCGGAUUAGCUAGUUGGCGGGGUAAAGGCCCACCAAGGCGACGAUCCGUAGCUGGUCUGAGAGGAUGGUCGGCCACACUGGAACUGGAACACGGUCCAGACUCCUACGGGAGGCAGCAGUGGGGAAUAUUGGACAAUGGGCGCAAGCCUGAUCCAGCCAUACCGCGUGGGUGAAGAAGGCCUUCGGGUUGUAAAGCCCUUUUGUUGGGAAAGAAAAGCAGCAGGUUAAUACCCCGCUGUUCUGACGGUACCCAAAGAAUAAGCACCGGCUAACUUCGUG